rnacentral:rRNA from 1 species
UGCCAGCCGCCGCGGUAAGACGUAGGGACCGAGCGUUGUCCGGAAUUAUUGGGCGUAAAGAGCUCGUAGGCGGUUGCGUAAGUCGGAUGUGAAAGCUCAGGGCUCAACCCUGAGACGCCAUCCGAUACUGCGCUGACUUGAAUCCAGUAGGGGAGUGUGGAAUUCCUGGUGUAGCGGUGAAAUGCGCAGAUAUCAGGAGGAACACCUAUGGCGAAGGCAGCACUCUGGGCUGGUAUUGACGCUGAGGAGCGAAAGCAUGGGUAGCAAACAGGAUUAGAUA